AGAGUUUGAUCCUGGCUCAGGACGAACGCUGGCGGCGUGCUUAACACAUGCAAGUCGAACGGAAAGGCCCUUCGGGGUACUCGAGUGGCGAACGGGUGAGUAACACGUGGGUGAUCUGCCCUGCACUCUGGGAUAAGCCUGGGAAACUGGGUCUAAUACCGGAUAGGACCACACACUUCAUGGUGAGUGGUGCAAAGCUUUUGCGGUGUGGGAUGAGCCCGCGGCCUAUCAGCUUGUUGGUGGGGUAAUGGCCCACCAAGGCGACGACGGGUAGCCGGCCUGAGAGGGUGACCGGCCACACUGGGACUGAGAUACGGCCCAGACUCCUACGGGAGGCAGCAGUGGGGAAUAUUGCACAAUGGGCGCAAGCCUGAUGCAGCGACGCCGCGUGAGGGAUGACGGCCUUCGGGUUGUAAACCUCUUUCAGUAGGGACGAAGCGAAAGUGACGGUACCUACAGAAGAAGGACCGGCCAACUACGUGCCAGCAGCCGCGGUAAUACGUAGGGUCCGAGCGUUGUCCGGAAUUACUGGGCGUAAAGAGCUCGUAGGUGGUUUGUCGCGUUGUUCGUGAAAACUCACAGCUUAACUGUGGGCGUGCGGGCGAUACGGGCAGACUUGAGUACUGCAGGGGAGACUGGAAUUCCUGGUGUAGCGGUGGAAUGCGCAGAUAUCAGGAGGAACACCGGUGGCGAAGGCGGGUCUCUGGGCAGUAACUGACGCUGAGGAGCGAAAGCGUGGGGAGCGAACAGGAUUAGAUACCCUGGUAGUCC
rnacentral:rRNA from 1 species